UACAGAGGUCCCGAGCGUUGUUCGGAUUCACUGGGCGUAAAGGGUGCGUAGGUGGCUGGGAAAGUUUGAUGUGAAAGCUCAGGGCUUAACCCUGAAAUGGCAUUGAAUACUACUUGGCUGGAGGUUUGGAGGGGGGACUGGAAUACUUGGUGUAGCAGUGAAAUGCGUAGAUAUCAAGUGGAACACCAGUGGCGAAGGCGAGUCCCUGGACAAUUCCUGACACUGAGGCACGAAAGCUAGGGGAGCAAACGGG
rnacentral:rRNA from 1 species